GAUGAAGAACGCAGCGAAAUGCGAUAAGUAAUGUGAAUUGCAGAAUUCAGUGAAUCAUCGAAUCUUUGAACGCACCUUGCGCCCUUUGGCUAUUCCGAAGGGCAUGCCUGUUUGAGUAUCAUGAACACCUCAACUCUUCACGGCUUGCCGUGAUGAGUUUGGACUUUGGGGGUCUUGCUGGCCUACGAGCCAGCUCCUCUCAAAUGUAUUAGCUUGCCGGUGUUUGGUGGCAUCACAGGUGUGAUAACUAUCUACGCUUGUGGUUUUCCACUAGGUAACCUUCAGCAAUGGAGGUUCACCGGAGCUCACAAAUGUCUCUCCUUGCCAAGUACAGAUUUUGACCAUUUGAUCUCAAAUCAGGUAGGACUACCCGCUGAACUUAAGCAUAUCAAUAAGCGGAGGA
rnacentral:misc_RNA from 1 species